UACGUAGGUGACAAGCGUUGUCCGGAUUUACUGGGCGUAAAGAGCGCGCAGGCGGUCGAUCAAGUCGAGUGUGAAAGCCCCCGGCUCAACUGGGGAGGGUCAUUCGAUACUGAUCGACUCGAAGGCAGGAGAGGGUAGUGGAAUUCCCGGUGUAGUGGUGAAAUGCGUAGAUAGUCGGGAGGAACACCAGUGGCGAAGGCGGAUCUCUGGGCCUUACCUGACGCUCAGGCGCGAAAGCUAGGGGAGCGAACUGG
rnacentral:rRNA from 1 species